GAUGGUCCUUACAUUGUUCAAGUUAUUUUUCCUCAUGGUGCUAUUGAAAUUCAAGAUCCUAAAAAUGGUAAUGUUUUUAAAGUUAAUGGUCAACGUCUUAAACCAUUUUCAGAAUUGCUUGUUGAUUCGGAGGAAGAGGUCAUCCACCUCAUCGACCCUUGAUCAUGUAAGUUGCUUCAGUAGUUAAUAAAAAUCCAUUCAUCUCCUAUUCAGGUAUUUUUCCUCUUUACUCUUACAUUUCAAUUCUCUCUUUUGCAUACAUUGAGGACAAUGCAUGAUUUAGGUAUGGGGAGGGCUUUAGUGUAAUUCUUAAAAAAUGAAAAACCCUAAAAAAUGAAAAAUUAGAAAAAUCCAAAAAUAGAGAUACUUUUAGCUAAGUUGUCUUUCCCUCACUCGAACUUUAGGAGUAGUUGGUGUUUAGCAUGUUUUCGAAAAGUAUAUAUAUGUAGUGUCUUUUAGAUAAUUUGAACGUAGUUGAGUAAGGUUGUCUUUUUGAAGCUUGUAUCGACCGAUUUGUACUCGUAAUUCCAAGAUGACACACACAUUUGCACAAGACCUUUGAUGGAGAGAUCGUCUAGUGAUAUUAUUCGAUACCUGAGAGAGAACCCACAUGUUGAAAUAAUGUCGAAUCGAACAUUUGCGAAUAAAAAAAAGAGAUAGAAAAAGAAA
rnacentral:lncRNA from 1 species